ACGGAAGGCAGCAGUGGGGAAUAUUGCACAAUGGGCGAAAGCCUGAUGCAGCGACGCCGCGUGAGUGAAGAAGUACCUCGGUAUGUAAAGCUCUAUCAGCAGGGAAGAAAAUGACGGUACCUGACUAAGAAGCCCCGGCUAACUACGUGCCAGCAGCCGCGGUAAUACGUAGGGGGCAAGCGUUAUCCGGAUUUACUGGGUGUAAAGGGAGCGUAGACGGUUUGGCAAGUCUGAAGUGAAAUGCGGGGGCUCAACUCCUGAACUGCUUUGGAAACUGUCGAACUAGAGUGCAGGAGAGGUAAGUGGAAUUCCUAGUGUAGCGGUGAAAUGCGUAGAUAUUAGGAGGAACACCAGUGGCGAAGGCGGCUUACUGGACUGUAACUGACGUUGAGGCUCGAAAGCGUGGGGAGCAAACAGGAUUAGAUACCCUGGUA
rnacentral:rRNA from 1 species